UGCAAUUAUGUGAUGCUAAUAGAGUACCGUAAAGUUUUUUUUGCAUUGAUCAUUAUUGGCUAUAUAAAAAUCUUGUUACGCAAUUUCUUUUUUCUUUAAUUAAAAGUUUCAAGUGAAGAAUAAAAUUAAAUUUGUGAGUAAAAGACUAUUUGGUAACUUCAGUGUUCAAAGAACAAUUCUAGCAUUUCGGCAACGUGCAUAAGUGAAUAGAAUCACCAAGAAACUACAUCCACGUGGCUCCCACUAUCGCAGAAGUCCCCCCUGGAAGAAAUUUUGGCCCAAUCCAAGCCGGAGGGCACUUUGACUAAUAAUCCGCAUAUAAUUCCAGGUGGGUGGACCACGAGAGGUUUAUUGGCAUAGAAGUUGAGGUGCUAUUUUACUAAUUUAUUGGGAAUAUUCCCCAGAAGCAUCAACCGUUCAAAAUUUUCUGCCGAUAAUUGCCUUCGUUGUGGUGCGUUUAUGAAGCUGGCAUAUGAAAAGAGGCGCUCUACCGACGCUGAAGAGGCCAAAUGCGUCUGGCAAUACAGUGCAAUUUGAAGCAGCUCACUGUAUUUAGUAAGGACCGCCAUUAUAGGCGUUUUGGGAUCUCCUCGGUCUGCCAGGUACUGCAAGGUUUCAAAUUUUAUUGUGUCCAGCAGAUUCCGCCCGUUCGACGCAUAGGUGGUGAGUAAAGUCGGCUCUAUAAGUAGAAAAACUAAUAAAAAAGAGUUAUUCAUUUAUAAUUGUAUUAAUUUUCCUAUAUUUAUAAUAAAAAUAUUUUUUUAGCAGGGUUGUUAAAUAAAUAAAUCUACAUACCAUUGUCAUCAAAAUCAUAAAAA